CAGGUGCAAACAAAGUGUUAAAGCAAAUCAUGGUAUCACCUAAGCCUUCCAUCUAAACCCUUGCGUUAAUCUGCCAAUUUGGUCGACGGGAAGCAAAACAUUACCACACUGACCGUUUGUGAUCUUCGGCUGACAUUAUCGCCGGAAAUUCUGAAGAAACAAGUUCAUUUUCAACAGAAACACCGGAGGCGGUGGCGAAAGAGGUGGUGAACAUUUUUGAAGAACAAAAAAAUGGUGGAAAUUCCUUCCAUAGAUUCAUCAGCCACCACCAACAUUGCACCCCUUAAACGCUAUGCCCCUCCCAGUCAGCGGAAUCGUUCACUUGGUAGGCGAAAAUCUGGAGGAGAGGAGCACUUAAGCCCUGAAGUGAGGCUCAAAACGUGUUAGCGCUUCGCCUUGCUUAAUGUGUGGUUCAAUGUCAUUAACAAGGUACUAAGACAUACUUUUCCUUGCCAAUGAACCUCUGAUGAAGAGACGACACUAAGCAAUUAAUAUUUCACUUUAUAGUAAUUAUUUUUCAAUUUCAUUGUUACUAUAUUUGUCAUUCAUGCUUAUAAAUUAUAAGUCUUAUACUAAACAUAUAUAUUUGUAUUUUUUCUCCCUUUGCGUCGUUUUUCAUUGAAGCCCAUGCUUUAGUUGAGCUUAAAGCCCGGAUGGACCUUGGAGUUUUUUUUGCGCUUUUUGCUUUUGACUACACUAGCUAGGAUGGCAGGAUUGAAUAUCAUGUCAGAUGUUAACAACCAACCUAGAUAGUAUUUAAACCAACUACUAAUAUUAAACCUUUUUCUUUCGGGCUAUAAAUAUGAAGAUGUCAGAUAAGAAUGAACUAAGCACUGUAGGAUAACCACGAUGUAUGGAGAGGGGGGGGGGAUGUUCGUUGUUAAGUCCUAUUGUGAAAAUUUUUUAUUAGAGAAAAGAUUGCCUUUUCAAACUAAAUAUGUAUUGUUCACUUGAUUGGGGUGAUCUUGACGACGGAGAAUCCGGGGAAGAGGAAGGUUACCUAUGUCAGUUGGUGCUUUGUGUGCAUGGCUUCGGGUGAAGAUGUCAAUCACCUCCUGAUUCAUUGUUUAUUCUAUCAGCAUCGAAAUUAUUGUCGGAAGUCCUUUGUGGUUUGACAUAUUUUGGGUGAUGCCAGCCUUGAUGAAAGAGGUAAUAUUGAAUUGAAGUUAUGGUAGAAGGAGAAGACACAACGUGCAGAAGCUUGGGCCACUAGCACUUAUAUGGGUCGUUUGGAGGGAAAGAAAUAAGAGAGCCUUUGAGAAUGUAGAGAUGAAUUUUGUUUCAGUUGAGGAGUUGGAAUUUUUUCUUUUUUUGAGAAAGUAACAUUUGUAUUAGAAAACUCAGCACAAAGGUUGUGAUGGUAACCAUGUACAGCUUCCAAAACUAGGAAAAGCUGGCACUUCUCACAUGGAGUCCAUCAUGUGUUGUAUAAAUUCUACCUCAUUUACAUAUUUCUCCUUGCACCAUAACAUGAACAACAAAAAAACAGUUCAUCCUUAUCUUCUGAAUGGAGCUGUUGCUGCCUUCAAAACAUCUGGCCUUACUUUCCUUCGCUGUCCACCAAAUACAAGGUGGAAUGAAAUUCCAUCACUUCUUUUGCCUGACAUUAUCUCCCUAAUUGUGCCAAUAUCUCAGUAAGUCAGCUCUAGUUGUUGGCACUGUCUAUUUGAGACCAACUAUACUCCGACUCUGCCACAAUUGAACAGUUACACCACAAUGUAGAACAGACGGUUGUUAGACUCUGAUGCUGCACGGCAUAACCUUGAUUGGAAUCCUCCUUCCUCUCUUCUUUAAAUUUUCCUGAGUUAAACAGGCCUGUCUGGCUGACAACUUAAAAGGGAGCUCUGAUCUUCUAACUCUGCUUCUAAGGCGUCAUCUUGAUUAUUUCUUGAAGCUAAUGAAUAGGCUGAUUUCACUGAAGAUCUCUUGUUGCUAGUGCCCUUCCAUAAUAAGGAGUCAUCAGCAUCUGUAGUUCCCUGAAAAAGUUCCAGUAAUUUAGCUGCCCGACCAAUUUCCCAGUCAUUUAGCAUUCUUCGUAAGUUGAGAUCCAUCCUUGUGAGCCCCACAUCUCCUCAAUUGUGGCUCCGGGAUUUGAGGUCUCCCUUAUUUCUUUUGGUGCACCAAUAAGGUUCCUUUAUGUAUAGGAAGAUUGAAUGCCGUUAGUAGAAAAUCAUCUUUUUUUCGGUUUUGUAUACGGGCAUGUGUUUUGCCCAAACAUUACUAUCGUUUUUCACUUUAUCCCAAAAAAAGAAGAAGAAUGAGCUAAGUUCCAAACUGUGGCAAAACAACUGGGAUAGGCAGAUGAUGCCCUAAAAGUCUAAGCUGAACCACCCACAUAGAAUGUAAGUUCAAAAAGAAUGUAAUUUCUGUCAUCUGGUACUUCUAUUUUGUUCCACUGCCUAGCAUAUUAUGGUACUUCUAUUUUGUUCCACUGCCAAGCAUAUUAUGGAUAAAUAGCUGACAGGUCUUUUGAAUUAUAAACCUAUUGGUAGACAUUUUUUCUCAGAUAGUCUAUUUUUGCAGAUCGAAUUGAACAAGUCAAUAUCAAUAGUAAUGAUGGAGAGAAGAAUCAAAUUAGUGCCUCCAGGUCAAAAUCUUCUGAUGAUGCUGGUGGCAGAUAUCAAGCAAAUGAGAAUCAUUGGACAGGGUUAAUACCGCUACAAGGAUGUUCUGGCAAUGAUGCUUUUCAGCUUCUAAAUAGCCAUAUGUUUCUUAGAUUAAUUCUGAGCUGAAUUUGUUACUUCGAAUAACAGUUUGUCAGUAACUUACAUAUUCUCUGUUAACCAUUUCCUAUGCUGUAAUGUAUUGUGGUCAUUUGGUUUCAGUCUUUCCUCUAGUUCAGUUGGUGUGGUGUGAUGAUAUUUAGCCAUGUAUUUUCCUUCAUUUUCUUUAUUAUUUAUGUGGGAUCUGAGUUCUUUACUUGUAUAUAGAUACUGAAUUCUUCACAUCUGUCCGUGAGGAAAAUGAGAUGAAUGGUGAUAUGCAUUUAGAUGGCAUAAUUUUUCCCAUCAUAAAUGAGCAACUACUGUUGUUUUUCUGAUUAAAUUCUUUAAUCCAGCCACUUUUCCAUAUCAAUCCUUGUUGACCUAAUUGGGAAGAAUGCCUGUCAAAUUCAGUUAGCCAGUUGUAGGAUAGGUCUCAGUUAAGAUGAGUGAGCAAGCCUCACAUACCAUCUCUUUCGGUUGUUUUGGUUCUUUGUCAGCCAGUUUCCACUCUUGGAUGAAUAAUGGUGGUAGCAGUUCCUCUUAUGAACAAUUAGUUGCGAGCGAUAAUGUUAAGAAAAUGUUGCAUGUUUUUGUAGGUUGGAUGGCUGCUUUGAAUGCUUACAAUAAUUUACCAUAUGAUUCUUCUGAAAGGCCAGUUAUGUAUACAAAAAGAUCACCGUGGGGGUAAUCUAUGCUUCCGCACCAGUUUUCACUGUCAGUUGAUGUUACAAGCUGGAGGUGUAUCUUCCCCUGGGUUGCAGGACUUUUCAAGUGAGCUUCGACUUGCAAUACAGGGUACAAGUGUCAGUUCGAUGCCUAAUUAUUAGCUUCAAGUGCCAAAACUUCUCCAAACUUAGGCUGUUCCGAUGCGUUUGCAUUGUAAUGGUAAGACACUUGUUGUGAGUUAUUAUCAACCCUGAUAGACUGCUUGUUUAAGAAGGCAGCAUCUGCUAGCACCAUGAACAUUUAAAAGUCGACACUCUUCCUUGUGUGUGUGCCUGUUGCAUUCUAUUUGCAAUGUACUUGUAAUGCUGUAUGUUUAAUGAGAUUCUACAAUUUUAUAAAUCUAAGUCUUGAAAUA